CCUACGGGAGGCUGCAGUAGGGAAUAUUGCUCAAUGGGGGAAACCCUGAAGCAGCAACGCCGCGUGGAGGAUGAAGGUUUUCGGAUUGUAAACUCCUUUUGUUAGAGAAGAUAAUGACGGUAUCUAACGAAUAAGCACCGGCUAACUCCGUGCCAGCAGCCGUGGUAAUACGGAGGGUGCAAGCGUUACUCGGAAUCACUGGGCGUAAAGAGCGCGUAGGCGGGUUAGCAAGUCAGAUGUGAAAUCCUAUGGCUUAACCAUAGAACUGCAUUUGAUACUGUUAGUCUAGAGUAUGGGUGAGGUAGGUGGAAUUCGUGGUGUAGGGGUAAAAUGCGUAGAGAUCAAGAAGAAUUCUCAUUGCGAAGGCAGCCUACUAGAACAUAACUGACACUGAUGCGCGAAAGCGUGGGGAGCAAACAGGAUUAGAUACCCUUGUAGUC
rnacentral:rRNA from 1 species